rnacentral:lncRNA from 1 species
AUAAAGCGGUGAUUCAUGACAGAAGCAGGGACGCAACUUCGACCAGUUGUGCUGUGAUUUAGAAUUCUUAGCUGGAGCUGCCCCACCCACCACGACAAUCUGAGACUUGGAAUCUGAACCUGGAGUUGGAAGCAGAACUUUAGAUCAGUGUGAUGCUCCUCCUGCACAGAGGCUUCUUGUGGUAGACGUCAGUCAACACUGAAACCCACAGCUCAUCAACACUCAGAGAAAAGGAGACCUUGAGACCCUGAAUCCUACGUGACAUGUUUAUAUUAUAUCCCUCAUUUCGAAGCUAACGUGUCUACAUAGAAGAGGAGGCAGAAAGAUUUGUGAAGGAUCAAACCCAGGACCGUGUUCAGGCUAAGCAAGCAUCCAACCACUGCGCUACAUCAGAAGCCCUUUUUUUGUGACUGGCUCUCUCUAUGUAAAGCUGACCUUGAACUUCCUCUGUACUCCACAUUGACCUGGAAACUGUCCUCUCUCUACCUACAUAGUGCUUGGAUUAUAGCUGUGACCACCUCAGGUGAACAUGCUUUCAUUUCUUCUGAUACUUUUACAUGUUAUUAUCAAGAUGGCCUAACUCUAAUUUUCCAUUUCUGUAGGGGAAAAUGUCUAUAAACAUUUCAGCUCAAUAAAUAGUUGAUUGUGGUGGAAA